UAUUCAGAUGAAAUAAAUAUUUCAAUUUUAUUAAAAAUCGAAGAAAUUCGGGAUUAAAAGUAGUCGUGGAGGGCAAAAAUUAGGUGUCAACACAACAACUAAUGAACUAAAACCCUAUAUUGCUCUAUUUAUAGUACAUUACAAAUAAAAGAUAAAAUGACAAAAAGGUCCUUUAAUGACCAAGUAGACAAAUAGGCGCACAUGGAGUGUGCUUAAAGGCGACUUUGGAGCCCCUUUUAACACUUCAACUCGUACACUCCCGAGGUUGCAUUCAACACACUAAAAAAUGUCCAUCUUCAUGAUUGUACCCAUAUCAUCCUCUCCAUCUUGAGAGAAAUUUGACCUCAAAUUCACGGCACAAACCAAAUAAAAUGGUACAAAACAAUCGAUAAAAUAAGAGAAAUCGAGAACACAACAUCUUCAAGUCUCGGCCAACAUCUUCAUUUUGUACCUCGGCUUCCUCUCCAUCUUGAGAUUUGCCUUUAAUCUCAUCCGGAUCAAUUGAGUUUAGCCAUGAAAUUUUACUACAAAACAACAAAGGAGUUAGUUGUAAAAGAAAGGUCCUCACACUCUCUCUUUAUUUCUUUGUUCUCGAAUUCCUCACACUUAAUCUCACAAGUGUUGUAUGCUUGCUUGUACUCUGUAAGGUGUUGAGAGGUAGACCAAAUGUUUACAAUGACUCCAAAGAAUAGGAAAGAAAACACACAAGGACGUAAACACGGAGAACGAUUUCAAAACCAACUCACAAUCUAGUAAAUGGACACUAUCUUGUAAAUUAGUAUUGAAAUCAACAAACGAAACUAAGGACACAACAAAAUGAAACUAAGAGAUUAAAAUUUAAGAUUAAAAUUUUCGUGUGAACAGUAAAUGAUGACGUGGAAACCAUGUAUUGGUUGCGGUUUUUAAAACAAGUUGUUAUUUUUCAAUUUGGAAGUCUUGGUCAAUUUUCAAUUUGGAUUAGUGAGAUUUGGUUAAUGGAGGGUAAGACAAGUCUUGGAACUCCUUUCAAAUUCAAACACAAAAAGUAUUGACUUGACUUGUACCUUUUCCUCAAAACAUGAACCUUAAAACAUGGAAAAGUGAUUGAGAAGUGAUGUAAAGUCUUUGGGUGGCUGGAAGCCUUUCAAGACUAACAAGUAAACUUUUCCUCCUUCACCUUUUUAGGAUCUAUCAUUCACUUUAUGUUUUAACAAUAGAUGAAUGAGGUGAAGAACUUCAAGAACAACAACAACCACACCAAGAACAACAAUAAUUCCACGACCACUUCCAAAUCUACAACAAACAAGGCCUUCAAUACACGGCCAAGACUACUACACUCCAACACAAUGUUCUUAGGCCACCAAUUAUCAACAAUAAUAUCACAAGGCCUCACUUAGAACAUCAACAACAACAACCAACGUUUAAUAUAAUCAACAAUAUCACCAAUACACAAUCAAAGGUGAAGCCAUUACAACAAUGCAAGAACAAUAGGCCAAAGUUAUGUUCGCAACAACAAGAUCAACAAUUCAAGCUCAAAUCUAAAUCUAAACUCAAGAGUGUUAGUGAUGAAGAAAACUAACACUAGAAACAACAAAACUAACAAAAUGACUUCUAGAUCUAGACAAGAAAACAAGUCUCGGCCUCAACAACAACAAGGACACAACUUUCAGCCAAGACAACUCAAGAACACUUUUUUUUUUGAAAUUUCUAGCAAGCCCGAGAUUGAUUUUGUUGAAACAAAAGCAACCACAAGAUUUGAUACCAAAUGAUGCGAUACAAACAACGAAUUGUACCAAAAACUACACAAAAACAGUCCAUAAACAAGAAGGAACCUGAGCUCAACAACACCAAAACCUCGGGUCCAACAAGAACAAGAACAAGGUGUAAAUGACACCAAAAGCAGCCACAAAAACAAGAGAUAAACAACACUAUAACAAGAAGCACCACACUAGGAUAACAACAAUCCAACGUUACAAGAUUACAAGACACAACAAGAACCAACGGGUUCACUAGACAACACAAAUUAAGACAUGAAAUAUAAAGAUAGAUAGUGAGACAUACACUAUUACAAGAUUAGGAACCAAGGAUAUAUUAAAUCUAAGGACCCUAAAACUUACAAUAGUAACACCACACACUUACAAAAACAUAAGAGGGAUUCCACCGCUCAAGCACCAAUGUUUUCAAGCAAUACACAUUCACAAGUGAAUCCACACUUGCUCAUGUCCUAGUUUCGGCCUAGGGAGGCUCCCUCUCUCAAAAGAGGUAUUCUUUGUGUUCUUACAUCAACAUUCAACAACUAAUAAACUAAAACCCUAUAUUGUUCUAUUUAUAGUACAUUACAAAUAAAAGAUAAAAUGACAAAAAGGUCCUUUAAUAACCAAGUAGACAAAUAGGUGCCCAUGGAGUGUGCUUAGGGGCGACUUUGAAGCCCCUUUUAACACUUAAACUCGUAUAAUCCCGAGGUUGCAUUCAACACACUAAAAAAUGUCCAUCUUCAUGAUCGUGCUCGUAUCACAAGUCACCUUUGAAAAUUCUUUUUCAAAAUAAUUGUUGACUCUUUAAAACUGGUUUGCGAACAGAGAUUUAGGCCAAAGAAUUCUGUUGACCGAGGGGAAGGUGCUAGGCACCCCUCAAUCUCGUGGUUAUCACGGUCGUUCUUGGAAUAUAUCGACUAAUUUAACGCUAUGAAGUGAAUAAACCACAGAACACACAACACAAACAAAUCAAACAAACAAAAAUCCAAAAAAAAGGUUAAUGUCGAGUCCAAUUAUUACAAAUCAAAAAAAUGUGGAAAUGUAAACCUACUCUAUUCUAGGUUAAUCCUAAACUACGCUCCAAUGCUUUACCCGAGGCAUCAUGCCUUGAUCACGAACAUCGUCAAAGUACAAGAUACUUUGGGGCAUUCAUCGUGGAAUAAAUACAAAUAAACUCAGGGCAUUGCCCGGCUAAAUGAAUACAUUUUUCAAAUACAAAAAAAAAUAGAAUCAUUCCACCAACAUUUCAAAUCGUCCAACAAUUCACAAUUUCAAAAUUUACCUACCCGACCUACUGUUUUCCUACCAAUUUCAACCCAUCAUGAUACUUUUGCCUUUAACAAACAUCAAUACUUAUUCCGAAUUAAAUAAUCAUCAACACAUCAGACUAAUGAAUAUUCACCUUUAUCAAUUUUUAAUUUUUCCCCAAAUAACUGAUUUUAAUUCUUAAUAAGAUAUUCUUUCAUUGCACAAUUCAUAAUCAAGGGAAUCAAACAAGCAAUCAAAACAAUCAACAAUUCACAUCAUCACAAAUCAACCAACACAUUGUGUUUAAUUCAAUGCAUCGAAUAUAACAAACAACGAAAUAAAAGAGAUUUGACGAUUUAUUUUCAAUUAAAUGAAAAACCUUCGCGCAUCCGAAACCUCACGCUAACAAUCCCGCAACUCGAACAACCCAAACAUCCGACCCGCUCCUAUCUUUCACUGAUUCAAGAAAAAAUCAGGAACAACAAGGAUAGCGACGCCUAAACCCCACGCAACCGGUCUGUUUUGAUUCUUUUUCGGUGACUUUGUCAUUGAUUUUUGGGCGAUUUCAGUGGUGGUGCAUUUGGUCACCGUUAAUGGCAUCUUCCGAUGGUGGUUCGGCCGGCGGGGCAAGAAAUUAGGACUUAAUGAUUGCUUUUCGGUGGGGUAUCGCUGGAAUCAACUCAAAUGGGUGACUGAUUGUUGUUUGUUUCGAAGCUGGCCGAAUUUUUGCGGAAUGACGAUUCCGGCGAAAUACUUCACCGGAAAGAGCUGAACGGAGUUGUUUUAUCCCUUUUUCGUUCACUCACCUCUGAAUUUUUUCUCAAUUCCUCUUUUCACUCUUCGUUUACUUCUUUUUCGAUUGUGUGUGCGUGCAUCGUUGUGUGUCUUUGAUCGGUGUCUUCACUGUAUGUGGAGUGUGUGUAUCGUGAAGGGAAUAUAGUGAGGUGUGUAUGUGAGUGGAAUUAUGUGAAUUGCUGUUGGAAUGGUGAGUAUAUGAGAGAGGAGUGUGUUGUUUGUUGUUGCUGUGUGUGAUGUGAGAGUAUGUGUAGUGUUGCCGUCUACAGAUGGAAAUUGUGUCCAAUUCUGUUAUGGCAUCCGUUGAGGAAAACGUGAGUGGGGGUAUAUGGGUAGGGGCAGGGGUAGGGUUGGUGAGGUUGGGGUAGGGGUAGGGGUGUGUGGAGUAGGGUGGUAAGGAUGGGAUAAAAUUUGUUAGGGUGAAGUGUCAAAAAUGAUUAAAAGUUUGUUGGAUUUGUUAUCGAGUGGAAAUUAUUAUAUGAGUGA
rnacentral:lncRNA from 1 species